AGCGCAGACGGUUAUUUAAGCAAGAUGUGAAAGCCCCGGGCUCAACCUGGGAACUGCGUUUUGAACUGGGUAACUAGAGUGUGUCAGAGGGGGGUAGAAUUCCACGUGUAGCAGUGAAAUGCGUAGAGAUGUGGAGGAAUACCGAUGGCGAAGGCAGCCCCCUGGGACAACACUGACGUUCAUGCUCGAAAGCGUGGGUAGCAAACA
rnacentral:rRNA from 1 species